UCAACCGAGAUUCCCCCAGUAGCGGCGAGCGAACGGGGAGCAGCCCAGAGCCUGAAUCAGUGUGUGUGUUAGUGGAAGCGUCUGGAAAGGCGCGCGAUACAGGGUGACAGCCCCGUACACAAAAAUGCACAUGCUGUGAGCUCGAUGAGUAGGGCGGGACACGUGGUAUCCUGUCUGAAUAUGGGGGGACCAUCCUCCAAGGCUAAAUACUCCUGACUGACCGAUAGUGAACCAGUACCGUGAGGGAAAGGCGAAAAGAACCCCGGCGAGGGGAGUGAAAAAGAACCUGAAACCGUGUACGUACAAGCAGUGGGAGCACGCUUAGGCGUGUGACUGCGUACCUUUUGUAUAAUGGGUCAGCGACUUAUAUUCUGUAGCAAGGUUAACCGAAUAGGGGAGCCGAAGGGAAACCGAGUCUUAACUGGGCGUUAAGUUGCAGGGUAUAGACCCGAAACCCGGUGAUCUAGCCAUGGGCAGGUUGAAGGUUGGGUAACACUAACUGGAGGACCGAACCGACUAAUGUUGAAAAAUUAGCGGAUGACUUGUGGCUGGGGGUGAAAGGCCAAUCAAACCGGGAGAUAGCUGGUUCUCCCCGAAAGCUAUUUAGGUAGCGCCUCGUGAAUUCAUCUCCGGGGGUAGAGCACUGUUUCGGCAAGGGGGUCAUCCCGACUUACCAACCCGAUGCAAACUGCGAAUACCGGAGAAUGUUAUCACGGGAGACACACGGCGGGUGCUAACGUCCGUCGUGAAGAGGGAAACAACCCAGACCGCCAGCUAAGGUCCCAAAGUCAUGGUUAAGUGGGAAACGAUGUGGGAAGGCCCAGACAGCCAGGAUGUUGGCUUAGAAGCAGCCAUCAUUUAAAGAAAGCGUAAUAGCUCACUGGUCGAGUCGGCCUGCGCGGAAGAUGUAACGGGGCUAAACCAUGCACCGAAGCUGCGGCAGCGACGCUGAUGCGUUGUUGGGUAGGGGAGCGUUCUGUAAGCCUGCGAAGGUGUGCUGUGAGGCAUGCUGGAGGUAUCAGAAGUGCGAAUGCUGACAUAAGUAACGAUAAAGCGGGUGAAAAGCCCGCUCGCCGGAAGACCAAGGGUUCCUGUCCAACGUUAAUCGGGGCAGGGUGAGUCGACCCCUAAGGCGAGGCCGAAAGGCGUAGUCGAUGGGAAACAGGUUAAUAUUCCUGUACUUGGUGUUACUGCGAAGGGGGGACGGAGAAGGCUAUGUUGGCCGGGCGACGGUUGUCCCGGUUUAAGCGUGUAGGCUGGUUUUCCAGGCAAAUCCGGAAAAUCAAGGCUGAGGCGUGAUGACGAGGCACUACGGUGCUGAAGCAACAAAUGCCCUGCUUCCAGGAAAAGCCUCUAAGCAUCAGGUAACAUCAAAUCGUACCCCAAACCGACACAGGUGGUCAGGUAGAGAAUACCAAGGCGCUUGAGAGAACUCGGGUGAAGGAACUAGGCAAAAUGGUGCCGUAACUUCGGGAGAAGGCACGCUGAUAUGUAGGUGAAGUCCCUUGCGGAUGGAGCUGAAAUCAGUCGAAGAUACCAGCUGGCUGCAACUGUUUAUUAAAAACACAGCACUGUGCAAACACGAAAGUGGACGUAUACGGUGUGACGCCUGCCCGGUGCCGGAAGGUUAAUUGAUGGGGUCAGCGCAAGCGAAGCUCUUGAUCGAAGCCCCGGUAAACGGCGGCCGUAACUAUAACGGUCCUAAGGUAGCGAAAUUCCUUGUCGGGUAAGUUCCGACCUGCACGAAUGGCGUAAUGAUGGCCAGGCUGUCUCCACCCGAGACUCAGUGAAAUUGAACUCGCUGUGAAGAUGCAGUGUACCCGCGGCAAGACGGAAAGACCCCGUGAACCUUUACUAUAGCUUGACACUGAACAUUGAGCCUUGAUG
rnacentral:rRNA from 1 species